UUGGUGGCGAUAGCGAAGAGGUCACACCCGUUCCCAUACCGAACACGGAAGUUAAGCUCUUCAGCGCCGAUGGUAGUCGGGGGUUUCCCCCUGUGAGAGUAGGACGCCGCCAAGC
rnacentral:rRNA from 3 species